rnacentral:lncRNA from 1 species
UGAGGGGCUCCUAGGCCAGGGAGAUCACACAGAACUCACUCCGGCAGGGGCGGAAUCGGAUCCUGGAGGCACCGAGUGCAGGGAGCAUAGAGGCAGCGGAGGGUAAUUGGACUUGGGCAUUCAGGGAAAGUUCCUCUGGGCAUUUCUCUGCUGGCGGUGGAAGGGAAAGGUGUUAGAGGCAGAGGGAACAGCACCAGCAAGGUGUGGAGGCAGGACCGUGCGAUGAAAGACUUUCUAAACCCAACAAAUAACAAGCUGGGCUGACCAAUCGAAUGUGACGGAAAUGGUGGUGUGCCAGUUUGGGGCUUAAGCCUAAAGAAGGCGUAGAAGCUUUUACUUCUGUGUUUGGAGGAAGCCAGCUGCUGUGUAAGGAGUGUGACUACUGCGUGGGGAGACCACGUCGAAAGGCCACAUGGAGAGAGCACCAGGAAAGACAACUUGGACCACACGCAGGGGCCAUGUGGAAAGAUUAUGUGAAGAGGCCACAUGUGCAGGGGCCACUUGGAGAGGCCACAUGAG